rnacentral:tRNA from 1 species
GGGGAGUUAGCUCAGUUGGGAGAGCGCAACGUUCGCAAUGUUGAGGUCGUGGGUUCGACUCCCAUACUCUCCA